AGUGAACGCUGGCGGUAGGCCUAACACAUGCAAGUCGAACGGCAGCACAGUAAGAGCUUGCUCUUACGGGUGGCGAGUGGCGGACGGGUGAGGAAUACAUCGGAAUCUACUUUUUCGUGGGGGAUAACGUAGGGAAACGUACGCUAAUACCGCAUACGACCUACGGGUGAAAGCAGGGGAUCUUCGGACCUUGCGCGAUUGAAUGAGCCGAUGUCGGAUUAGCUAGUUGGCGGGGUAAAGGCCCACCAAGGCGACGAUCCGUAGCUGGUCUGAGAGGAUGAUCAGCCACACUGGAACUGAGACACGGUCCAGACUCCUACGGGAGGCAGCAGUGGGGAAUAUUCGACAAUGGGCGCAAGCCUGACCCAGCCAUACCGCGUGGGUGAAGAAGGCCUUCGGGUUGUAAAGCCCUUUUGUUGGGAAAGAAAAGCAGCAGGUUAAUACCCCGCUGUUCUGACGGUACCCAAAGAAUAAGCACCGGCUAACUUCGUG
rnacentral:rRNA from 1 species